CACGUAGGGCGCAAGCGUUGUCCGGAAUUAUUGGGCGUAAAGAGCUCGUAGGCGGUCUGUUGCGUCCGCUGUGAAAACCCAGGGCUUAACCCUGGGCUGGCAGUGGAUACGGACAGACUAGAGGUAGGUAGGGGAGAAUGGAAUUCCCGGUGUAGCGGUGAAAUGCGCAGAUAUCGGGAGGAACACCGAUGGCGAAGGCAGAUCUCUGGGCCGUUACUGACGCUGAGGAGCGAAAGCAUGGGGAGCGAACAGG
rnacentral:rRNA from 1 species